AACGAACGCUGGCGGCGUGCCUAACACAUGCAAGUCGAACGAGAAAGUCCCCGCAAGGGGACGAGUAAAGUGGCGAACGGGUGAGUAACGCGUAGGUAAUCUGCCCUUCGGCUCGGGAUAACUCCGCGAAAGUGGGGCUAAUACCGGAUGAAAUCCUGAAAGCGCAUGCUUUCAGGAUCAAAGGCGGCCUCUGUUUCAAGCUGUCACUGAAGGAUGAGCCUGCGUCUGAUUAGCUUGUUGGUGGGGUAAUGGCCUACCAAGGCGAUGAUCAGUAGCCGGCCUGAGAGGGUGAUCGGCCACACUGGAACUGAAACACGGUCCAGACUCCUACGGGAGGCG
rnacentral:rRNA from 1 species